AAAAGAACAUGGAAACAAUCUGUUUGCAAAGAAGUUUUGAGGUUCUGUCCAUCUGGUCCAGGAAAUGCUGACUCUGCUAGAUGUGCUGUUGGGUGGGCUCUCAUGGGAGAGGCUUGGGCAGGACUUCCCUUGGCAAUAAGCUGCCCCACCCAGGCCUUUCCAUGAUCCAGACUCCUGGGACCAGGGUGCAAAUCCCCAGCUCCCCACUUGUAAACAAUGUGACCUGGGCAACUUUCUCAAACCCAAGCUUUGUCCACCCAAGGUCAUCAGAGAUGGGGGAUAACAGGAUGUCCUGCACAGAGUGUCUGUGCAGAUUAAGUGAGGUAGAACAGACAGAACAGUGGUGGGGCCUGGCCCAUUCGUUGGCAGAAGGGAGCUCACCAUGUGCAGCAAUUUCCGCGGGUCACCCAGCAAUCUGCCCAGAGGCUUAGCUACUCCAUCACUAUCAUGUAUCUGAAGUCCACUUAACCACAUGGGAGAGAAACAAACACAUAUUCUGAGUGUAGCUGCCACAGGAAAAAGUGCAUCUGAGCGGGGAGUAAUACCAGAGGGUGAUCAGGAUGGUGGAAGAUGCCCCCUUGGGUUGAGCAGAGUGGAGCUGCCCUCUGGAGCCUGGGGUUAGUGAGGAUGGGCUUGUAGAAAUGCCCCUCUCCUUUACCCAUCAAUGCUGGGUCCUGCGGGUACUGAGUCCCACAAUCGGUGUGCUGCUAGUGCCCUCAGCACAGAGAAAAACCCAGGGGUUCCCACAAGGCUUCGGCCACGUCCUCUGCUUCCUGAACUCCCAUUCUGGUGACCCCACCUGGGAUGCAGAGAUGAGGUGAGGCAGGGGCUUGUGCUGUCAACACCACUGCUCUACCCUGGGAAUCUGACACACAGUAGGUGCUCGGUAAGUCAUUGUUGAAUGAACAGCAGUACUGGGUCAAGUUUCUGUGGGUGUCUGUGCCCCUAGAUCAGGGACCCCUCAGGGCCCACCUCACAAGUGACAUGAAAAUAAUAAUGCCACCAGGAGCAAUAACAGUUCCUCAGAAUAAGUGGGCUUUUCCAAGCACUCUCCACCUGUUGCAAAGGCCUCCCAGCAGGGAAGUGGGCUGUCAGGGGCAACACUGCACUCUCCACUGUAAUAAGGAGAAAGCCAAGGGCCACAGAGAGGAGUGCCUUUCCAGUGUCACUGCUCACUUUCCCACCUUUUGGGAGACUGGGAGGCUUUUCUACUACAUUCUGGCUCUGAAGCCCCAAUAUUGUUUGGACAUGUCUCCCUCCCUGGAGCAGGGAACCACUAAGUGACCUGUCACUUGUCACCAAGCAGACAGGCUCAUUUCAGCUCAUUGUGCCACCUGCAGUUUGUGCUAGUAGCAGGAUCCUCUGGGAGACAUCACACUCUCCCAACCUGAAAACAGGUGAACAGCUCACAGGUUUCCUGGAGAGGAUGGUCACAUGGCCUUGAUCUGGCCAAUCAGCAUUUUCCAUCCUCCCUGGCCACUGUGAUUGGCUCAGGGCUGGGCACCAGCCCAAUCAGGCUCCACGGAGGUCAGGCCUAGUUGCUGGAAUCCUGGGAGCAGAGAAGUUCUAUUUCAGUUGGGAGUUGAGGGGUGGUGAUGUCAGCCUGUGGCAGUUGGUGACUAUCUUGCUCUCGUAAAGGCAGAGCCAUGUGAAGAUGACACCAGUGGCAGAGCCCAGAGGUGGGGAAAGAUGACUUCUGCUGAUGUCACUGAGCACCAGGUACAGCUCUGCCUGAAGCUAUCUCCUUGUGGAUGUCUCAGUUAGGCUGUCUGCUGCAUGAGAAUGGAGACCUGCCUGCUUCACUCCCUGCUGUGUCCGGUAUAUGGAACCCGCCCAACACACAGUAGGACCUCAGCGAAUGUGUGACGGGUGUGUGAUCACUGUAGGCCACAGACAAAGGUCUUCCCAGCAGUGAUGAAACCCUGUGACAGAUCCUGUCCACAGCACCCUGCUCCUCCGAUCCUGACCCCAGGCUUUCCCAUGGGGUGUGACCCCGCAUGGGGUGCAGUCCCCUCCUCCAGUCUGACGUCAGUAAUCUUGGACCCGUUCUUGGAGCAGAGAAUUGAGUACCUUCCUAAAGUGUACGUUGACACUCCAUAUGUUUCUGCCAGUAUCAGCGAGGUUCAAUAUGUCUCAUGAAUGUCUUUUGAGCCUGGUAUUCUCAACAGAAGUCUCCAUGCCAGUAUUCUCCAUUGUAGCAGAACAACUCUCAUCAAUGUGUUCGCAUCUCACCUCAAUUUGUGCAGCCAGCUUUUCUGCCAACUUCCUUCAUGUCUCCUAUAAAGUCAAAUUCUAAAGGACAGGGCAAGUCUGAAAGUACCUCGGAGCCUCACCUGUAAGCUGAUGACAGGCAGAUCUUCCACUAUCUGCCCUUUCAGAUUCUGGAAACUGACCCGUGAACUCAGGCCAUUGCGCAGCACGAGUAUCUCGAACUUACACAGAUUCCAGAAAAAGAGACUUAAGCCAAGCUCCAUAGAGGGCGGUACCGCCUCCAUGACACUGAUCCACCCACAGAAUUCUGCCCAGUUACCUUGGAUCCACCAGCCACAACAAUCCUGGCAGAACACACCAAGAUUCCACCUGGAAUCCAACCGGUAACUGCCAUCCCCAAUGGUUGCUGCAUCUUGUCAGUGUUGGGGGAGGGGCUGCAUCAGACGAGAGGUUCCAAAGGUUUUCUGAGGCCUCAUCCUGUCUUUGGAAGUAACAGACCACACUUCGGAAAGUGUCCUGUGCCAAGGGCUGGGUGAGUGGAUGUUUACAUUGCUGUGUACAUGGGUGGGAGUGAGCGCAGGUUGCACUGGUUCUCUGCCAACUGGGCAUCGAUAAAUCAACACUUUACAGAUAUAAUUCACAGAAUUGUGAUGUUUGUUUAGCUCUGUUUAAUAUGCAGCCAUGGUGGGAGGGUUUGUCCGUAGCCUCCAAUUUUCACAUUGUGUUGAUAACUCAGUUGCAGUUUUUAAGAAGGUUAAUAGAAUUGAUUUACAUGUUUUGGGAUUUAUAAGAAAAUGAAGGUAGAUUUUGAAACUUACUAAAUCCACCUAGAUGCCAGACCUGUCAAUUUUGUAACAUUAUGUCAACUAUAAGAAAAAUAUAGACAGUUAUAAAGUAAAAUCACUGUCCAAUAAUUUGAAGGGGAUAUGUCAACUCUUUACUGUUGAAGCCUCCAACA